AACGAACGCUGGCGGCAUGCCUAACACAUGCAAGUCGAACGAGACCUUCGGGUCUAGUGGCGCACGGGUGCGUAACGCGUGGGAACCUGCCCUUAGGUUCGGAAUAACUCCCCGACAGGGGUGCUAAUACCGGAUAAUGUCUUCGGACCAAAGAUUUAUCGCCUUUGGUUGGGCCCGCGUUGGAUUAGCUAGUUGGGAGGGUAAAAGCCUACCAAGGCGACGAUCCAUAGCUGGUCUGAGAGGAUGAUCAGCCACACUGGGACUGAGACACGGCCCAGACCCUUACGGGAGGAAGCAGUGGGGAAUAUUGGACAAGGGGCGAAAGCCUGAGCCAGCAAGGCCGCGUGAGUGAUGAAGGCCUUAGGGUUGUAAAGCUCUUUUAUCCGGGAUGAUAAUGACAGUACCGGGAGAAUAAGCACCGGCUAACUCCGUG
rnacentral:rRNA from 1 species